UCCUUGUUGCAAUAUUGCAGAUUUGCACAGGGGCUACACUUGAGGCAAGUUGAUAUGAUAGAUGAUGGCAUUGCACGGAGCUCAAGGACCCUGACAAGAAUGACGAAAAGCCUGAGAAAGGUCUGCAACAAAUCCCUGAAGAGGUUCAAGAGGAGGAAGGGUUUCCAAAUUGGGUCAAGUUCUACACGGAGAUUGGUGGUGAUAGAUGAAUCCAAGUUCUCUCACAAGAUAAAGUACAAUCGUGGAAGGAUAGGGCCAACGUGGAGAAGACCGGGUUGGGUGUUUGGGAUGAUGGAAGUCAAACAGAACAGACAGCGCCCAGUUCUUAAAAUGGUGGAAAACCGUUCACAGGAAACCUUAAUCCUUAUCAUCAGACGACAUGUGCGACGAGGUUCCAUCAUUCUGAGUGACUGCUGGAGAGAGUAUGUCAGGUCUCUGAAUAGGCUGGGUUACAAUCACCAGACAGUCAACCACACAAACAACUUUGUGGAACCUCACACAGGAUGUCACACACAACACAUUGAAAGAGCGUGGCAGACAAUAAAGGGACAGGUCUGGAGGCUAAGGGGCAAUCGGACAAAAAAACAUUUUAAAAAGCAUCUCCAUUUUAUUCAGUGGAUGUACUGGUUGGAUAAAGAAAAGAACAAAGGAGUACUCUCUCAACUCUUCAAAGACAUCCGAUUAGUAUAUCAGCUGUAAGAUUUUCACUCUUAGCAUGCACCCCCAAGAGGAAAUGUUUUGUCAAGACCAUUCCAAGCUGUAAGAACAAAUAUUGUUUGUCACAUAAGUAGGGUCAAUGUUAUCUUUCAAAAAAGAGCCUACUGUUUUGAACUAUCCGAGUUAUAACUGAGACCUUUCCAUUUCCUUUCAAUGUGAACAGAAUACUUACAGAUGAGUUGUUUGUUGCAAAGUGCCUAUAUACAUCCAACCAUCACUAAUUUCAAGUGUGGUUGCAUUUGUGAAAACAUGCCAAACACUUGCCAGAAGGAGCCAGGAGUACCCGGUGCCGGGUACUUUGCUGCAUCAAUUUAAAUAGCGGUCAGUACCGGCCCUUUAAAUGCACGCAACCCCUGCAAGCUUUUUUUUUUGCCGAAAACAACAGAAUCUCAACUUUUCAUUUAUAUCAACCAAUACGAUGUCUUUGGAACUACGAUCCUACAGCAAAUCAAUGUGUUUCAUUCUUUUUACAGGGUUAUAAGCAUGUUUUGUUGCUAUCAGUGUUUUUUGGGUCACUCCACGUAAAAAUGUUUGAUAUCACAUGAAACGGGAGACUGGAUUCCAUUGCUUCCAAACAUAUCACUGUCCGAUCAACAGGCUAUGCACCUACCAUCAAGAAGGUGUAUUACCACACUUCACCUACUACAAUCAAAAACACGUUGUAAUAUAGUAACUACAUAUUAAUUACAUGAGUAAAUAAAAUGCGUUUCACUUUACAUUAAGUUGCUUGUUAUUGUGUAGAAACAUUGUAGUUAUGAUACUUUUCUUUAAAAUGACAUUGUAAUAACAAAUAUUGAUAUACCCUGCAAAAUGUUUAAUAAUAUUAAAAGUACAUAGUAAUUACACUUAAAUAUGCUGUAACAAUUUUUCCUGGAUUGAGAUGAAUGCCCAUUGAUCACAACUACAAGUACUGUAUUGGGUGCCUGCCAUAGUUGUAACAUAGUAAUAACUACAUAGUAAUUAUAUGAGCAAUUCAUGAUGCAUUUCACUUUACAUUAAGUUUCUUGUUCCUGUGUAGAAACAUUGUAGUUACGAUGCUUUUCUUUAUAACAACGUUGGUAGAGCAUGGCGCUUGCAACGCCAGGGUUGUGGGUUCGUUUCCCAGGGGGGGCCAGUA